UACGUAGGGUGCAAGCGUUGUCCGGAAUUAUUGGGCGUAAAGAGCUCGUAGGCGGUCUGUCGCGUCUGCUGUGAAAACUCAGGGCUUAACCCUGAGCUUGCAGUGGGGUACGGGCAGACUAGAGUGCGGUAGGGGAGACUGGAAUUCCUGGUGUAGCGGUGGAAUGCGCAGAUAUCAGGAGGAACACCGAGUGGCGAAAGGCAGAUCUCUGGGCCGGUAACUGACGCUGAGGAGCGAAAGCAUGGGGAGCGAACGG
rnacentral:rRNA from 1 species